UUUUUACAAAGCCUUUGAAGCUUGAUGUUUUCUUAAAGCUGCGAGGUUUGCUGGGUGUCUGCUCUUAUCCAGUAGUAAACUGAAUGACAAUGGUAUUCAGUUUAAGGGAGAAUGUUAAAGUUGUUAGGAUUUUCUUAGUCACUAAGGUUAGACUUCCUUUUCAGGUCUAAUACUUACGUAGCUGUUAAUAAUUCCUGUUUCUAAGGAACAAGUAUUGUUGCACGUUCAGUUUAAAGAUUAGUCACGUACCACGAUUCAAGGAGCUGUAAAAUCGUGGGUUGUUGCAUUUCCAUUCAGUUACUUUGUAAGGCUUUUAAAAGCUAUUGCUAUCUUUGAAUUCAAUAAGAU
rnacentral:lncRNA from 1 species